rnacentral:lncRNA from 1 species
AGCAUUGCACUUCCUUGGAACACGCGUUGUAUAUGGAGUUAUGACUUUAUCUCCAAUUCUUGGAAUAUCCCUAAUAAUUUUGACAUCUUUUGAGAGAUGUGAUAUAAAGCGGUCGACAUCAAAAAUCUCAGAGAAGUUGCUGCACGAAGAAAGAAAUGAUUAAACCUCAUGAAUUGUAGUACGCUAUAACAAACAAAAAGAUAGCUUGCAAAACGCCUUUGUGCAAAUAUUAUCCCAAAUAAAACCUUGAAUCUUUCCAGUAGGAUUUCUGGUCAAGUUUUGGAACUACAAGGACGGCAUUCAAGAUAUGAGCUGCAACGUGUGAUAUAAACCGAUCGACAUCAAAAAUCUCAGAGAAGUUGCUGCACGAAGAAAGUAAUGAUUAAGCCUCAUGAAUUGUAGUACACUAUAACAAACAAAAAGAUGGCUCACAAAACGCCUUUGUGCAAAUAUUAUUCCAAAUAAAACCUUG